AUCUAGCUAUCCUUCUUGGAUCUUUGUGUUCUUGUGAGAUAACUAUACUGAUAUCAAGUAGGCUUUACAGCUUUUUUUUUGUGUAAGAAAUUUUUGGUAUUGCUCUUAGUGAACUCAGUGAAACUUCUUUUCUUUUUGUUGCUGGCAUCAGUAGCUUAGUGAAGUGUGCAUCAUUGUCCGUGUUAGUUCCAUGGACAGUUUAUUAAAGCAAUGCUGGCAGAAUUCAACAACAUUGGACAUGCAUCAUGUAUUAUUUUUAUUUCAGACUUGGCUGAUCUUGAAUAUAUUCAGAGGAAGCCUCUUGAUCUUAACAAUGAGAGCAAGAAAAAGAAUAGUAUCUAAACAUCGUUGAACAAAGGCUGUGCUAUUGCUGCAGUAGACUGGAAAUUCUCUCAGAAGUCUGAAUAUCAAGGCUAUAGUGAAAGGUGAUUCCUACUGCUGUUGUAUUUGCUGAGAUUAUUUUUAUUAUUAUUAUUAUUUGCUAUGUACCUAAUUUAAUUGUCACUAAAUUCCUAUUUCUGGGAACUUUGCACAAACCCAUUGUUGUGAAGAAAGACAUUUCGGAGUAGUGGACAUUUGAAGUUGCAGUACUGAUACAGCAGGUCCAAAGAAAUGUGCAAAGUUAUUCCUGACUGUGUUGCCAGUAAAAUGGUGAAAAAG